rfam:Brachypodium distachyon strain Bd21 chromosome 4, whole genome shotgun sequence.
UUACUACACCCUGCGUCCCAUAUUAAGUGACUUUCUAUUACAUGUAUCUAGACUACUUUUAGACCUAGAUACAUCCAUAUUUAGGCAAAUUUGAAUCACUUAAUAUGGGACGGAGGGAGUAUAAG